AUUGAACGCUGGCGGCAGGCCUAACACAUGCAAGUCGAGUGAGCGGCGGACGGGUGAGUAAUGUAUGGGGACUGCCCGCUAGAGGGGGAUAACUACUGGAAACGGUGGAUAAUACCGCAUACUAUCGGAUAACCCAUAUGGGAUUAGCUAGUAGGUGGGGUAAAGGCUCACCUAGGCGACGAUGUCUAGCUGGUCUGAGAGGAUGAUCAACCACUGGGGGGCGGGGACACAGCCCAGACUCCUACGGAGGCAGCAGUUGGGAAUAUUGCACAAUGGGCACAAGCCUGAUGCAGCCAUUCCGCGUGUAUGAAGAAGGCCUUAGGGUUGUAAAGUACUUUCAGCGGGGAGGCGUUACCCGCAGAAGAAGCACCGGCUAACUCCGUGCCAGCAGCCGCGGUAAUAC
rnacentral:rRNA from 1 species